ensembl:lncRNA
GUCGAAUUUAAAAGAAACGUGCGUUUCUUUGGUGACGCCAAAUAAUUAACGAACACGUGAGCAGAUAAUGACGGACGACCAACGCAAGAUGGCAGCACUCGUCCUGGUAUACACGAUGCACGUUCCACAGCGUGAGCAUACGGCGGGAACACUAGGAGAGAAACGUCAGAAAGGCUAGUCAUGGAGCUGUGUUGGCCACUGAGGGUGGUCCUAGUCCUACUGUUCGGGACCGCGUCCACCGGAGCCUGGAGAGCGUCUCAACCCAGACUACAGUUCACACACUCAGAUACCAUGGGAAUGCUUUCUUUGUAUAUUUCUACUUGUUCCUGAUGAGUUAAAAGAUAUCAAACAACUGGAAAAACAGAUUGGUGCGCAAUGUAGAGGUUUGCAUUAAAUGUUUUUAAUUUUAUGUAUUUAAUUAAUGGAGACCCAAUUAGCUCCCCUAACAAAGCAUUUAGUACUUACUCUUGGUGUUUCUGUGAUUAGUCUCUCAUAUGAGAAGAGCCUUAGGGGCCCUAUAAUGUGAUCUAUCAGUCAAUCUAUCAAUUAUCAAUAUUUUGUUUGC